AUCCUAUAGAAUGAUAUUUGCUUCCGGGAAAGUCCUCAAAAAAUGAACUAUAGUUAGGGGUGUCAAAAUGGGUAACCCAACUCAACUCAACUCAUAAUCAAAUGAGUUCAUUUAAUUUGAUGGGUUGAGUUGUUAAAUGGAUUAACCCAUUUAAGUAAUAAUUUAAUUAAUUAUUAUUAUAAAACAAUAAUAAAUAAUUACCAUUAUUAAUUCAUUAUCAUCAAACUUAGGAUAUUUACGGAUUCCACUUUUUACGGAUUUACGUUUUUGACGAUAAAAUCAUGGGUUUAAGUUUUUGACGGGAAAAUUACGGAUUUACGUUUCUGGCGGGAAAAUUACGGGUUUAAGUUUUUGGCGGGAAAAUCUCGGGUUUACGUUUUUGGCGGGAAAAUCACGGAUUUACGUUUUUGGCGGGAAAAUCACGGAUUUACGUUUUUGGCGGGAAAAUUACGAGUUUACGUUUUUGGUGGGAAAAUCUCGGGGUUACGUUUUUGGCGGAAAAAUUACGGGUUUACGUUUUUGGCGGGAAAAUCUCGGGGUUACGUUUUGGGCGGAAAAAUUACAGGUUUACGUUUUUGGCGGGAAAAUUAUGGAUUUACAUUUUUGGCGGGAAAAUCUCGGGUUUACGUUUUUGGCGGGAAAAUCUCGGGUUUACGUUUUUUGCGAGAAAAUCACGGGUUUACUUUUUUUUGCGGGAAAAUCACGGAUUUAUGUUUUUGGUGGAAAAAUUACGAGUUUACUUUUUCUCAAUUUCAUCUCUUGUAUAUUUAAGAAAUUUGGAAAAAUAUUAAUUUUAUUAAAUUGGUUUAGAUGUGUUGGUUAAACUUAAAUUGGCAUUGGUUUAGAGAUUUUAGAUGGUUUUAUUCAAUUUUACAAAAUUUGAUGGGUUAAUUGGGUAAACCAUUGAAACCAUUAAUCAUUACAACCCAACUCAUUUUACUCAUCAAACCAAUUGACUCAACUCAUUUGACCCAUCAACUCAUUUAAGUCAAAAUUUUCAAUUCAUUAGGGUUCAUGGGUUGAGUUGAGUUGAGUUGACCCAUGAAUUUUGACCCAUUUUGACACCCCUAACUAUAGUAUGAUAUUUAUUAACUGUUCCAACGGAAGCGUGUUCAAGAAGGUACCCUUUUUUCCUUACUCUGUUUC
rnacentral:sRNA from 1 species